UGUUAAGUCAGGCAACGAGCGAGACCCACGCCCACAGUUGCCAGCGAUCCCUCCGGGAUGACGGGGACACUGUUGGGACCGCCUCUGCUAAAGAGGAGGAAGGAAUGGGCAACGGUAGGUCAGCAUGCCCCGAAUUAUCCGGGCUACACGCGGGCUACAAUGGUCGGCACAAUGGGUAUCGACCCCGAGAGGGGUAGGCAAUCCCCUAAAGCCGAUCGUAGUUCGGAUUGAGGGCUGAAACUCGCCCUCAUGAAGCUGGAAUCCGUAGUAAUCGCGUUUCAACAGAACGCGGUGAAUACGUCCCUGCUCCUUGCACACACCGCCCGUCAAACCACCCGAGUAGGGUCUGGAUGAGGGUGUAUCACUUGAUACAUUCGAAUCCGGGCUUUGCAAGGGGGGUUAAGUCGUAACAAGGUAGCCGUAGGGGAAUCUGCGGCUGGAUCACCUCCUAG
rnacentral:rRNA from 1 species